rnacentral:rRNA from 1 species
GGACUACUGGGGUAUCUAAUCCUGUUUGCUCCCCACGCUUUCGUGUCUCAGCGUCAGUACUCGUCCAGUUGGCCGCCUUCGCCACCGGUGUUCCUCUCGAUAUCUACGAAUUUCACCUCUACACCGAGAAUUCCACCAACCUCUCCGGUACUCGAGCUAAGCAGUAUCGAGUGCACUUCCUGGGUUGAGCCCAGGGCUUUCACAUCCGACUUACCUAGCCGCCUACACACGCUUUACGCCCAGUAAUUCCGAACAACGUUUGCACCCUCUGUCUUACCGCGGCUGCUGGCAC